rnacentral:tRNA from 1 species
UGCAUCGGCCGGGAAUCGAACCCGGGCCGCCCGCAUGGCAGGCGAGCAUUCCACUGAACCACCAAUGC